CGCAAUAAGUCCCGCAGCAAACGACGCCGUAAACACCACCACCGCUUGUCAGAUUCCUCUGAUUCUUACUCCUCCAGUUCAUCGGACAGUGAGCAUCAAACAUCUAAUCCUUCAAAGAGGCACAAGAAAAAUGACAGAACAAAGAAGAGCAAGGAAAAGGGAAAGGACGAAGCAAGAGUCAUCACCAUAACGCCAGAAAGCACAAAAGUUAAAGAGGUUAGGCGCUGUUUAUUCAUAUAGCUUUAUUUUCACAAGAUUGUUAGAUUAAAAUAACUUCUUUUAGGGGGAAAACUUUCAAUGUUUCAAUACAUGCAUGCCUCAAAGAGUAAAACAAUUAAAAACCCUGCUCUUGUCAUAUGAAAUGACUUUUUUUGGGUCUAUU